rnacentral:rRNA from 1 species
UGGGGAAUAUUGGACAAUGGGGGCAACCCUGAUCCAGCAAUGCCGCGUGUGUGAAGAAGGCCUUCGGGUUGUAAAGCACUUUUAUCUGGAGCGAAACACGCAGGGUGAAUACCCCUGCGGACUGACGGUACCAGAGGAAUAAGCACCGGCUAACUUCGUGCCAGCAGCCGCGGUAAUACGAAGGGUGCAAGCGUUACUCGGAAUUACUGGGCGUAAAGCGUGCGUAGGUGGUUUCUUAAGUCUGCUGUGAAAGCCCCGGGCUCAACCUGGGAAUUGCAGUGGAUACUGGGAAGCUAGAGUGCGGUAGAGGGUAGUGGAAUUCCCGGUGUAGCGGUGAAAUGCGUAGAGAUCGGGAGGAACACCAGUGGCGAAGGCGGCUACCUGGACCAGCACUGACACUGAGGCACGAAAGCGUGGGGAGCAAACAGGAUUAGAUACCCGCGUAGUCC